CCUACGGGAGGCAGCAGUGGGGAAUAUUGGACAAUGGGCGAAAGCCUGAUCCAGCAAUGCCGCGUGAGUGAUGAAGGCCUUAGGGUUGUAAAGCUCUUUUACCCGGGAUGAUAAUGACAGUACCUGGAGAAUAAGCUCCGGCUAACUCCGUGCCAGCAGCCGCGGUAAUACGGAGGGAGCUAGCGUUGUUCGGAAUUACUGGGCGUAAAGCGUGCGUAGGCGGUUAUUCAAGUCAGAGGUGAAAGCCCGGGGCUCAACCCCGGAACGGCCUUUGAAACUAGAUAGCUAGAAUCUUGGAGAGGUUAGUGGAAUUCCGAGUGUAGAGGUGAAAUUCGUAGAUAUUCGGAAGAACACCAGUGGCGAAGGCGACUAACUGGACAAGCAUUGACGCUGAGGCACGAAAGCGUGGGGAGCAAACAGGAUUAGAUACCCUGGUAGUCCACGCCGUAAACGAUGAUAACUAGCUGUUCGGGCACUUGGUGCCUGAGUGGCGCAGCUAACGCAUUAAGUUAUCCGCCUGGGGAGUACGGUCGCAAGAUUAAAAACUCAAAAGUAGAAUUAGACGGNGNGAGAGCGACGACGACGACGACGAGGAGAG
rnacentral:rRNA from 1 species